rnacentral:lncRNA from 1 species
GAGAGUGAGUGGACACGGUUUUAGGGGGGCAACAAUUCAUUCUUAUUAAUGAUAUAGAACAGAAAUGGAGGCAAAACAAAAGAAGGGGUUUCACGAAAAAGGGCUUCUUCUCAUUCCUCCUUUUUGUUUUAUUUUUUUUAUUUUGUUUUAGGUUCCAAAAUCAAAAAAUAUUAAAAUAAUAAUAAUAAUAUAAUUAUGCCUUCCUUUUAAUUUCGAUUUUGGUGUUCCAAAAAUGGAGAUCAAUUGAGGUUUGGAGUUCGAUUCGAGGUGUUUCUGGUCGUCGAUUUUCGUCCGUAGCUCCGGUUGCGGCUGAUGAUUUCAAAGCCAAGUUUUACAUGCUUUUGCAGUGUAACUCAAAGUCUGGAAGAUUGCAAUUCAUGAGUACUAAAGAAAAAUUAUUCUUCUGUGAAGGUCCAAUUUCUCAUGCUCACUUUUAUCUAUUUCUUUUUUAUUGGUUUGGUGAAUGCUUUAGAUUAAUUUGCUUCUGUGUUAGCAUAUCUUAUAUCUCACUUAUUAUUUUAAUUUAUACUUGGUUCAUGCUUUGAGUUGCAUAGUGAAUGGAAUUUAGACUACUACAUUAGAUAGUUAGUGAACAUGAUGCUUAGUUUGAUUGGUCUAGAGUUAUAAGAACAUAGUAGCUCAUCAAGUAAUUAAAAGUGAAGGAAAUAAUCUGAAAGUCAUAGGGAAAAUUUGUGCUCAAAUAGACAUAUUCUCCAUGAACCUUAUAUUUCAAAUUCAAACGUCAUAAUUUUUUGGAAAAAGGAUUUAAUCUCAUAGACUUACUUUUAGUUCAUAUUGGCAGUAGUGUUUCUUUUUAGAUUUUCAGAACUUUAGUAGUUAUAGAGAUGGUUUGAAAACUCUUUUAGUCUUUGCAUUCUUUACUGUUAGUUUUUCGUCUUUUCUUUCUUUGUCUUUUCCGUGAUUUUGUAGUAUUUCAAGUCAAUGUUCUCCUUUAAGUGUUGUCUUUCCUAUCACUGUGUUUAAUUAGUUAUCUGUAGUAAAUUAAUUAAGUAUUAGGGGAACACAAUCAAUAGUCUAUGUGAUAUUGCAAACAAGAGAAAGUCUAAGAACAAAUAGUGAAAAUUACCGAAUUGGUUGUGGGGGUUGGACAUUAAGUGCUAAUUGUUUCGUUCUACUACUUUGACCGCUAGGAGCAUGCUAGACCGUCAACACCCGGGUAGGCAAACUUUUAGGCAUGUUUUGAAUUUAUUACCGUGAUUAUAUACACGUUCGCGUGACAUAAUUAUGGUUUCUAAAUGAAUAUUCAUAGCUUGCGUUAGGCACGUUUAAUAUACCAUCGUGAUUGUGUACAUGUUCGCGUGACAUAAUUAUGAUCUAAAAAAUAAAAUCGGGGUAUGCGUUCGCGCAACUUCGACCAAACUUUCUUAAUAAUAAUAAAGCGUUAUUAAUUGUGGACACGUUCGCAUGACAUGAUUUUUGACGCGCCAAACAAAUAGGUACACGUACGCGUGACCCGUUUCAAGAUAAUUUCUUAAUUAAAAGAGGCAAAUGCACAUAGGUUCUAAAAAUGAGUAAUUAAACAAUUUGAUUAAGCCAAGUAUGAUCAAAAUGACCGUGCUAGAACCACGGAACUCGGGAAUGCCUAACACCUUAUCCCAGGUUAACAAAAUUCCUUACCUCGAUUUCUAUGUUCGCAGACCAUAAAUAGAGUCAACUUCCUCGAUUCGGAAUUUUAACUGGUGACUUGGGACACCAUAAAUUAUCCCAAGUGGCGACUCUGAUCUUAAAUAAUAAUCUCGUUUCGAUUGUCACUUAAAUUGAAAAAAACUCCCUUAUAUACCCUUCCGGGGGUAGUAAAAAGGAGGAGGUACAACUCUGGAGACUCUGCUGGGGAACAGAUCCCAGAAUCUCUGGUUCAGGGUUCAAGAAUUCGAGCUUGUUAAUAUGAUUUUUACUUGGCUUUAUUUAUUGUUGAUAUUACUGUAUUUUGUGGACCUAAUGUGCUAAUUGCCGUCUAUUUACCGCUUUGAUAUUAUUUGAAUUGUAUAUAACUAUCUUCUUAUGCCACCCCUCUGAGUUUUCUGAAAAUGGUGCACCCGUUCGCAUGGCCCGCUUUUUCUGUAGAAGUCAUACCAAAUAGAACGAGGCUAGGCCAGCAACAAGGCCGGGUAGACUUUCAUACUCCUGGUACGUUGCCCCCUCUUCGACUCGAGUAGUCCGCUCGGGUAAACUAGGUAAAGAAUACAACCCCAGGUUUAAACCUAGAAUAACAUAACCCCAUGUCGGAUCCCUAGUAGGAACGUUUGUUGCAUCACGUGCAUUUGACUUAGAGGACUCAACAUAGGGGUUGGGUCCGCCUAGGACAGGUGUACCCAAAAAUAAAAGACCAUCCUGAUGCAUCUUAUGUGUUACAUGUUGCAUUUCUUCAAGGGUAAAAAGGUCAUCUGGCGGACCAAUGAUGGCUGAGGGUAAAUGAGAGAGAAAAGAGGGUGAAUGGUGAAAAUAAAGCAAGUAGGGCCAAGUUAUAUUUUUCUUUCACAUUUUUUGUAAGAAAAAGACAAAAAUAAACAUGAAAAAUCCAAAAAGAUUUUGCACUUUCCCAUCAUUUUUCGAAAAACAAAAAUAAAAAAAAAGGGAAAAGAAAUCCAAAAAGAGUUUUCAUGUUUCAUCAUUUUUCAAAAAAAAAAUAUAUAUAUAUAUAUAUUCCCUAAAUUAGUAUUUUUUUUAAUUCUCACCCGUAUCCAAUCUUCCCGAACUACGCGAACUUGAUUCUUGUCUUUCGGGGUGGGAUACGUAGGUAUCCCACAUAGGGUCCGGUCUUCCUAGUGAGUUUAGGUUCUUGGCUUCGCGGGGUCUUAGUCAAAUCUUGCAUUUUUAGCCACUUCUAACCACAUAAGUUAAUUUUAAAAAAAUAGUCACAAUCAUGUCUUGCAUGUGUCUAACAGGAAAGGUUAUUGUCUCACAUAGCGUUCUAGGUCUUUAACUUUAUUUUGUCUUAAUUUUCUCAUACAGGUGUGGAUUCACAUACCGGAGUUUGAGCAUGACAGACGCCCCAGGACCAUCUAGUCAGGAUCGCUCAUUCAUGAGUGGAUUAAAAGGAGAUUUUUUUAAUGUUUUGAGUCUGUUUUUUUAUGUCGGCUUUUACCUUCUAGUUUUGUACGAUAAUGUCGAGUCUUUUGUUAUUGUACUUUCUAUUUUGUAUUUGAAAAAGUGUGUUAUAACUCAAAAAUUCUAAAAAAAGAGAUUUCGCAUUUUAUAUUUCCAUUAGAAGUUUUCUUUAGAAUACUAAUUC